rfam:Chaetomium globosum CBS 148.51 scaffold_2 genomic scaffold, whole genome shotgun sequence.
GCCCGCAUGGCUCAGUGGUAGAGCGUGUCACUAGUAAAUUCUCUAUGACAAGGUCACUAGUUCGAUUCUGGUUGUGGGCA